CCUCCAGCUCUGCCCCACCCUACCUUGCAUCUCUGGAAAAAUUGGCCGCAGGACCUGCCUUGGCCUCCAAACUCCCCUCCUGGAUCCCUUCCUGGAACAGAGGUAGCAUCUAGCACCCUCUUAUCUACCAUCUUGGAACAUCUUGGUGAGCGCCUUUGAGACGUGGACUUGGUAGUUGUGUCCACACCCUUGCUGCUCCCUGUCCUGGUGGGGGUGGGGGGCAUGUGAGGCAUGAAGAGUAGAAGGGCAUCAGGGAAGAAGAGGAAAAGGAACCUACAAAAGCUCCUGAGGUGGCUCCAACGAGGCUGUGAAGAGCUGCUAUGGGGAGGAGAAAGUUUCUAGCCAGAACCAUGAAAAAUGGCUGAGAUACUCUUCAGGGAAACUGAGCUUCUGAAAGGCUUUGAAGGAGGCGCCUCCUUCUUAUGCAGCUCCCGGCCUGCCAUGAUAUGAGCUGCUCUAUCUCACCACCAUGACGAACAGAAACUUUUGAAGCCCUGAAAUGUAGCUCAGUUAGCAAUGUUUGCCUAGUGCAUAAGGUCCAGCCUCGAUUCCCCAGCACUGCACAAGCAGGACAUGCGUUGCAGGUCUGUGAUCCCAGCACCCAGGAGAUGAAGACAGGAGGAUCAGAACUUCAACAUCUUCUUCACCUAUAUAGAGGGCUGGAGGCUGGCCUGGGUUAGAGGCUCUACCUCAAAAACAACUGGGCAGUCAGGAUGGCUUAACGGGUGAAGGCAACCAAGCCUGGCUCCCUGAGUUUUAUCUGCUGAACCCACGUGAUGGA